AUUUGCACUCAUGUUGGCAGCAUUUGGCAGGUCUCAGAUUAUUUUAAAAGGCUAAGUAGGGUCAAACCUGGCUAGUUCUUGGAUGGGAGACUGCCUGGGAAUAUGAGACAUUGUAAGCU
rnacentral:rRNA from 1 species